rnacentral:rRNA from 1 species
UACGUAGGGGCCUAGCGUUGUCCGGAUUUAUUGGGCGUAAAGGGCGCGUAGGCGGCUUGAUGUGUCAAAGGUGAAAUCCCUCGGCUCAACUGAGGAACUGCCUUUGAAACUGUCUGGCUUGAGGCCGGGAGAGGGUAGCGGAAUUCCCAGUGUAGCGGUGAAAUGCGUAGAUACUGGGAGGAACACCGGUGGCGAAGGCGGCUACCUGGACCGGUUCUGACGCUGAUGCGCGAAAGCGUGGGUAGCAAACAGG